AUUACAACACGUAGUACAAUCACGUGUAAGUUGUGCAAGAUAAAUAUAAAGCAGGCCUCAAGCUUUACAGACAUUUUAUUAUUUUAAUCAUGGAAAGCAAUAUCAAAUUACUGUUUUUCUUCUUCAUAAUAGUUGUCCUUGUUCCGAAUGGUGUCGAUGGAAAUUAUGUUUGUAGGCUAGAUCCCGUACCCGGAUUUUGUAGAGGAUUCUUUCAAAAAUACUAUUACAAUUGGAAAACGGCACAAUGUAAACAAUUUAUAUACGGUGGAUGUGGUGGAAAUGGUAACAAUUUCCGAAGUAUUGCUGAAUGCCAGGCUGCUUGUCUGUAACAUAUGUAUUCCAGAAAGAGUUUGAAUUUAUAAAUACAAACAAAAUAAAAGAUAUUUAAUCCUUUA